UGUGCCUUUGGUUUCUUCUUUACAGAAACCUAUUUCAGAGAGCUGUGAAGACUGAAUGGGUUAGUUUUGUUUUUGUUUGUUUCCUUUGGGUGUUUUGGGGAAAGGAUUUCAUUGUGCACUUCAGGCUGGCCUUGAAGGCACUCUGGAGCCCAGGCUGUUGUAGAUCCUGUGAUCCUCUUGCCUCACGUCCCCGGAAGUGUUGGGAUUGCAGGCAUCCGCAGGGGUGGAAUGGUUUUACUUGCAUGAAAGAGUUUUGAAAAGUAAAGAAUGAGAGGCUAAAUGUAAGAUAGUAUUUUUUUCUUGUUCAUAAUUACAAUCUUUUACGUGACGAUAAAAGGCUAAAUUACCCGUUAAAAGCCAUGGGACCAUUUCAAAGGGAAAGGCGCUCUCAGGUUCUUAGAUCUGAAGAGUGAAGAGAGGUAGGGACUCACAAUGGAAAAGCUCAUGCUGUAGUAUCACACUUGAGUUUAAAUCUCAGCUGACCUACUAGCAGGACUAUAACUGUGUUACCCUACCGAAAUUGUUCAUCUCUGCGUCUGGGGUUCCUUAUCUGUAAAACUGGCAUGAGGCUGUAGUGUCCUGUCGGGUAGCUAUGAUUAGGCAUAACGGAUCCAAUAUGCCUGGCACAGUCUACACCCUAAAAAUGGGGAGUAUUGUUUAGAUAUUAAAGGACCUUAGGUUGUAACGUCUCUACAUUGAAUUCACCCUUUGCCCUGUUAAAAAAUCCUUAUCCUACUAGUUAAAAGCUUUCUUAUAUGAACUAUGCUAAAAUGCGUUUGCACUGGAACUUGGCAGGUAGGAAUAUUUGUUCAAUUAGUUCAGUAAGGUUUAGGUUUAAGAGGGUUUUUGUUUGUUUAAAUUUUGGCUAGCUUCUUUUCAAUAAAGCUUUCCUCAACUAGGGAAGCAGGAAUCUUAUCGCGAGAUUUUGGCGGAGCGCGUUUCUUGUGCCUGCCCUGUUCUCGCGUUGUUUGAUCCAAUAGUAGGGAAAGGUGAAAGGGGAGCUCAAAAUAUCGCGAGAGUCUAGGGGACUCUCGCGAUGUUUUCUGCGCUUGCCCCUCCCCCCUCCAAGUGCCGUUUCGGUUUAAUCUAGUGUGUGACUGAGUGUGUGAGGGAGCGAAUGUGUGUGUGAGGUAUUGAGGUGAGGCCGAGGCUAGAAAAGGGGGCUCCCUCAGGAGCGAAGGACAAAGGGGGCGUGAGUCACCUAGGCCGCAGGACCCCGACGACAGGAAGCUGCCCUGAACCGGGCCACCGGGAAGGAGAAGGGCCCUCGCAGCCCUCACAGGGCCCCAGAGCCGGAGUCUGCCCCGCAGCCCAGGGCCGCUGGCUUUCUACUUCGAGUUCCAGGCAGCCGGGCCUGAGGAGUGGCUCGGCGGGGCGUGGGGAAGGACGUGGUCUCGCAACUCCGCCGUGAGGAACUCUGGUCUACCUCGCCCCAUCUCCCCCCACCUCAUGUAGGAGGGCGCCGAGGCGGCGGGAGGGGGAGGAGCCCGGCCGCGAGUCCCUUCCCUCCCAGCCCCUAAGAGGGGCGCUCGGGGGGCGUGGAGUUGGGCCGGGGGUGGGAAGGGCGGCUUCCUGCGGCGCCGGGGAACUUUUCCCCGUCUUCGGGGCCGGGGCGAAGGUAAUGCCCAAUUCCGAGAGACAUGGGAGCAAGAAGGACGCGAGUGGAGGAGCUUCUGGAACUUCGCAGCCGUCCUCGGGAGGUGGCAGCUCCAACAGCAGAGAGCGUCACCGCUUGGUGUCGAAGCACAAGCGGCACAAGUCCAAGCACUCCAAAGACAUAGGCUUGGUGACCCCAGAAGCACCAUCGUUGGGCACAGUUAUCAAACCUUUGGUGGAGUACGAUGACAUCAGCUCUGAUUCAGACACCUUCUCUGACGACAUGGCCUUCAAAUUAGACAGGAGGGAGAACGAUGAACGUCGUGGAACUGAUCGAAGUGACCGCCUGCACAAACAUCGUCACCACCAGCACAGACGUUCCCGGGACUUGCUAAAAACUAAACCGACCGAAAAAGAAAAGAACCAAGAAGUCCCCAGCAAGUCGGCAACGAUGAAAGACCGGACAUCGGGAAGUUCCAAGCGUUCAAAUGAGGAGAAUGAUGACUAUGGGAAGGCGCAGCUGUCUAAAAGCAGCAGCAGGGAGUCGAGGUCAUCCAAACUCCAUAAGGAGAAGGCUCGGAAGGAACGGGAGCUGAAGUCUGGACACAAGGACCGGAGUAAAAGUCAUCGGAAAAAGGAAACACCCAAAAGUUACAAAACCAUGGACAGCCCAAAACGGAGAUCCAGAAGUCCCCACAGGAAAUGGUCAGACAGCUCCAAACAAGAUGACAGCCCCUCAGGCGCUUCUUAUGGCCAAGAUUAUGACCUUAGUCCCCCAAGGUCUCACACCUCUAGCAAUUACGACUCCUACAAGAAGAGUCCUGGAAGUACCUCAAGAAGGCAGUCGAUCAGCCCACUUUACAAGGAGCCUUCUGCCUACCAGUCCAGCACCCGGUCGCCCAGCCCCUACAGUAGACGACAGAGGUCUGUGAGUCCCUAUAGUCGGAGACGGUCCUCGAGCUAUGAAAGGAGCGGCUCUUACAGCGGGAGAUCACCCAGUCCUUACGGUCGAAGGCGAUCCAGCAGUCCAUUCCUGAGCAAGCGGUCUCUGAGUCGGAGUCCACUCCCCAGGAAAUCCAUGAAGUCCAGAAGUAGAAGUCCUGCAUAUUCAAGACACUCAUCUUCCCAUAGUAAAAAGAAGAGAUCCGGGUCACGCAGUCGUCAUUCCAGUAUCUCACCUGUCAGACUUCCAUUGAAUUCCAGCCUGGGAGCUGAACUCAGUAGAAAAAAGAAGGAAAGAGCUGCUGCUGCAGCAGCAGCAAAAAUGGAUGGAAAGGAGUCCAAGGGGUCACCUAUAUUUUUGCCUAAAAAAGAGAAUAGUUCAGUGGAGGCUAAGGAUUCAGGCUUGGAGUCUAAAAAGUUACCCAAAAGUGUAAAAUUGGAAAAAUGUUCCCCAGAUACUGAACUGCUGAAUGUAACACAUUCAAACACAGAGGUCAAAAAUUCUUUAGAUACAGGGAAAGUAAAGUUGGAUGAGAACUCUGAGAAGCACCCUAUUAUGAAAGAUUUGAAAGUACAGGGAACAAAAGACUCUAAACCCAUAACACUGAAAGAGGAGAUUGUUGCUCCAAAGGAGCCAGAGAUACCAGAAAAGGAGACCCCUCCACCUCUCCCCACAGUUACUUCACCCCCUUUACCAACUACCACCCCUCCCCCUCAGACACCCCCAUUACCACCUUUACCUCCACUACCAGCUGUUCCACAGCAACCACCUCUGCCUCCUCCCCAACCAGCAUUCAGUCAGGUUCCUGCUCCCAGUACUUCAGCUUUGCCCCCUUCUACUCACCCAAGGACAUCUACUCUAUCCUCUCAGGCAAAUUCUCAGCCCCCUGUACAGAUUUCUGUGAAGACUCAAGUAUCUGUAACAGCUGCUAUUCCACACCUGAAAACUUCAACGUUGCCUCCUCUGCCUCUCCCACCCUUGUUACUUGGAGACGAUGACAUAGAUAGUCCAAAAGAAACUCUUCCUUCAAAACCUGUAAAGAAAGAGAAGGAACAGAGGACACGCCAUUUACUCACAGACCUUCCUCUCCCACCUGAGCUCCCUGGUGGGGAUCCAUCUCCCCCAGACUCUCCAGAGCCAAAGGCAAUUACACCACCUCAGCAACCAUUUAAAAAGAGACCAAAAAUUUGUUGUCCUCGCUAUGGAGAAAGACGACAAACAGAAACCGACUGGGGGAAACGCUGUGUGGACAAGUUUGACAUUAUUGGGAUUAUUGGAGAGGGAACGUAUGGUCAGGUAUAUAAAGCCAAGGACAAAGAUACAGGAGAACUAGUAGCUCUGAAGAAAGUGAGACUAGACAAUGAGAAAGAGGGCUUCCCAAUCACAGCCAUACGUGAGAUCAAAAUUCUUCGUCAGCUAAUCCACCGAAGUGUUGUUAACAUGAAGGAAAUUGUCACAGAUAAACAAGAUGCACUGGAUUUCAAGAAGGACAAAGGUGCCUUUUACCUUGUGUUUGAGUAUAUGGACCAUGACUUAAUGGGACUGCUUGAAUCGGGUUUGGUGCACUUUUCUGAGGACCAUAUUAAGUCAUUCAUGAAACAGCUAAUGGAAGGACUGGAUUACUGUCACAAAAAGAAUUUCCUGCAUCGGGACAUUAAGUGUUCAAACAUUUUGCUGAACAACAGUGGACAAAUCAAACUAGCAGAUUUUGGACUUGCGCGGCUCUAUAACUCUGAAGAGAGUCGCCCUUACACAAACAAAGUCAUUACUCUGUGGUACCGACCUCCAGAGCUGCUGCUGGGAGAGGAGCGAUAUACACCAGCCAUAGAUGUUUGGAGCUGUGGGUGCAUCCUUGGGGAACUGUUCACAAAGAAGCCUAUUUUUCAAGCUAAUCUGGAACUGGCUCAGCUGGAACUGAUCAGCCGUCUCUGUGGUAGUCCUUGUCCAGCUGUGUGGCCUGAUGUUAUCAAACUGCCUUACUUCAACACCAUGAAACCAAAGAAACAAUAUAGACGGCGUCUACGAGAGGAAUUCUCUUUCAUUCCUUCAGCAGCACUUGAUUUAUUGGAUCACAUGCUGACGCUGGACCCUAGCAAGCGAUGCACAGCAGAACAGACCCUACAGAGUGACUUCCUUAAAGAUGUGGAGCUCAGCAAAAUGGCUCCGCCAGACCUCCCUCACUGGCAGGAUUGCCAUGAAUUAUGGAGUAAGAAACGGCGACGGCAGCGACAAAGUGGUAUUGUAGUAGAAGAGCCACCUCCAUCCAAAGUUUCUCGGAAAGAAACUACCUCAGGGACAAGUGCUGAGCCUGUGAAGAGCAGUAGCCCAGUACCACCUCAGCCUGCUGCUGGCAAAGUGGAGCAGCCCGGGACUGGGGAUUCAGUAGGCCUUGGUGACAUCACACAACAGCUGAAUCAAAGUGAAUUAGCAGUGUUACUGAACCUGCUGCAUAGCCAAACUGACCUGAGCAUCCCUCAGAUGGCACAGCUGCUUAACAUUCACUCUAACCCGGAGAUGCAGCAACAGCUGGAAGCCCUCAACCAAUCCAUCAAUGCCCUGACAGAAGCCACUUCCCAGCAGCAGAACUCAGAGCCCAUACCCCCAGAGGAGUCUUUGAAGGAACCACCCCCUGCUCCAGCAGCCCUGCCUUCAGCAGAACAGACGACCCCUGAAGCUUCAAGCACACCAGCUGACAUGCAGAAUAUGUUGGCAGUUCUCUUGAGUCAGCUGAUGAAAACCCAGGAGCCAGCGAGCAACAUAGAGGAAAACAACAGUGACAAGAAUAGUGGGUCACAGGGGCCCCGAAGAACUCCCACAAUGCCACAGGAGGAGGCAGCAGCAUGUCCUCCUCACAUUCUUCCACCAGAGAAGAGGCCCCCUGAACCCCCUGGACCUCCACCGCCGCCACCUCCACCCCCUCUGGUUGAAGGCGAUCUUUCCAGCGCCCCCCAGGAGUUGAACCCCGCCGUGACAGCCGCCUUGCUGCAACUUUUAUCCCAGCCUGAAGCAGAGCCUCCUGGCCACCUGCCACAUGAGCACCAGGCCUUGAGACCAAUGGAAUACUCCACCCGACCCCAUCCAAACAGGACUUACGGAAACACAGAUGGGCCUGAAACAGGGUUCAGUGCCACUGACACUGAUGAACGCAGCUCUGGUCCAGCCUUGACAGAAUCCUUGGUCCAGACCCUGGUGAAGAACAGGACCUUCUCAGGCUCUGUGAGCCACCUUGGGGAGUCCAGCAGUUACCAGGGCACAGGGUGGCAACAGCAGCAGGGAUGGCCCCUGAGGAAUUUGGUGAUGUCCCUCAGUCACUUUGCAUCCAGAGCCUGGCAGAUUCAGUCUCUGCCUCAGAACUUAAAGCCAGGUUCAGAGAAUAAUUCUGCCUGUCUGGACAUCAUGUGAGAUGCCAGAAGUAGCAGCCUGAAGCCCGCUUCCUCCUCCCCAGAACCCAGAGUGGGUGUGUGACCUGGCCACUGCCUCCACCCUUCUUGCCUGCUGGCAAGAGCAGCCCCAGCCAGGCUCAGGAGCGUUGCCGUGUCCUGCCACCUGGGUCCCCAUUGGCUCCUCAUUAUCUUCUUCGCAGUUUGGGGAAGAGCAGAGAUAUGGCCAGGAUGGAGGUCUGAGAUGCCCCUGACCUCUGAACAGCACACCCCUCCGAAGGCCCUGCUACCAUUUACGCUCGUGCCACCAAACGCAGAAGUAGGCAGCACAGUUAGCCACCCCCUGGCUGCCCUCUGCCUCUUUAAGGGAAAUGGAGGUGGGUACCCAGCUGACUGAACUACUCACACCUCCAGAAAUUAGACCCCAGGGCACAGUGCCACCCUCCCAGGCUGGCACAUGCUACCCUGGCAGAGGUUCAAGUAGCCCCCUGCCAUCCUCCUACCCCUAUGUCUUCCUCUACUCUCUUCCCUUCUCUCCCCCCUCUCUUUUCUCAGCCAAAGCACAGCUGAGCCUUGGGCAGGGGGAGCGGAGAGACCAAGCUGGGGUGGGGGGUGGAGCUCCAGCAGCACGUUUUCACCUGCCAUUUAAUUGGAUGUAUUUUUAAUUAAUGGGACCUCAGGGACCAACAUGAGACAAUCUGAGCUCUGAAUAGGGGCAGGGGAGGGAUUGAGGAAGGGAGGAGGAUUGGGCCACUGGGUGCGGUUACCGGGAACCCAGGCCCAUCAAUCACUGGCCACUUUUCGUGCUGGCAUGGAGAACAGUGAGGUGGAGGAGCAGGGGAGGUGCUGGGGAGAGGUGCCAGCAUUUCCUCCAGUGGCCAGGACCUCCCAAAGCAGUUGACUUGGGCCUGGAGCCCGAAAUCACAGCCAGGGUAGUAGGUAAGGUGGUUUCUUGGUGUUUUGUCCAGUCGGCUUAGCCCAAGGAAUGUGGUAAACUUGUGAAAGGAAGUUGGGAACGGAGGUCUGAGGUUCCUGAAGAAAGAGGGACAAGCGCGAGGGGCCAUGGACCCAAAGACUGGUGAGGUGACUGGAGGGCAGAGUUGAGAGCAGAGUGGUUCCUCUGUCCUGACGUGAAGAAAGUGUCCUGGAGGUUAUGUACAAAUGAGUGUGGUGCCUUGGGGUCUGGACCAUGGAACCUCACUGCUGCAAGGAAGCCAACGUGGCGUUCAUCUUGCCCGACCCUUUACUUUACAGAUGUGGAAACCAAGAGCCAGAGAGGGGAAUUUGGUGGAAUCCUGUCCUGCAGUUGCUCUGUGUUCCUGCAUUUGGAAAGUUCCUGGAAAUAGGAAAAGGAGAAGCAUGUAGGUGUGGAGGGAGGAAAGUCAGAUGAGGAGGGCAAGCAGGAUCUUAUCGGCCACCGGCUGACGUCUCACAUCUCGGACCCUCGAGUCUUAGAAGCGGCAUGGCCAAGGCCCGGAGUGUGGUCCUCAGCACUAAAAAAAAGCAAGAUAGAGGAGUCAGGCAGGUGCAGCCUGUGGAGCAUUACUGGGGGACAUUUCCUUCACACCACCAGUCCAGGGCUGUCUCAUCCGUCCCCAGGCUUCCAAGUAGAUGGAAUUCCUGCAGCCCUGCUCCGUGGGAUUUUGUCAUGGCCUCUAAGGUUCACAGGGAAGGAAAUGACUCCUUCACCAGAAAUAAAUCCCCAACCAAGACUAAAUAGUGAACGCUUUUGGAACUCUUAGCCCAAGUUUGUCUGCUGUAAAUUAAGCCAUUAGAGAAAGUUACACCAAAAAGUGUAAUGAGAAGUGAUCUUCUACCUCUUCUCCAUGUCUAAGCCUAGAACAGACGGAAUUGAGAUGCAAGGCCCUGAAGGUGGAGUUCCCAGGAUACCUGGCCCUGCAUCUCUUAGUCAGAGCCACUCUGGCUCUUGUGGCUUUGGUACCUGGACAGAAAGACAGCUUUCAGCCACCACUUUCCCCACCCCUUCCUUCCCUUCCUGUUUACCUGCUUGGGGGAAGGAAGGAAGAGUGAGGCGACAGGAGCUUCCUGCCAGGUUGCCAAAGGUGGUCUUUCUUAGCACCCUCCUCUUUCCUCAAAAUAUUCAAGACUCUGUUCCAAGCUUCGUGACACAAAGUUGGGGUAGGAGCAAAGAUACAGAGCUUGGAGGCAGCCAGUGGAAACUGUCCCACUCCAGGCCACCACACCCUCUUCCCACCCCAAAAACUGUCUUCUCUGUCCUAGUGGACCACUUCAUACCCCCGGCCCUGGGGAGGAGCAGGAUCUGCCUCUCCGGUCCCAGCCUCACGCUGCCCUUCCCUGAGUCGCCCCGAGUCUGCUUGCUUGCUGUUCGAUCUUCAGCCCACUCCACAGCCCGUGGGGUGAGAAGGCCCUUGUGUCCCCGAGCACAGCUGGAGAGACCCCUCCAAGGACCGCUGCCUUCUUUGAAGCACUGAGGGCUGCUGGUGGAGAACUGGGCCAGGGCUGGAAAGGAAGGUUCUGCCAUCAGGGGUUAUGGGGAAGCCUGCAAGUGGGGAGCAGGCAGAGGUGACAUCCUAACCCUCUGGGCAGGGACAUUCACAGUGAGUGUCACUUGGGGGUUUAUUAGUGGCAGCUGUGUACAAGCUGCUCUUUCUAUCUGGAACCCAGAGCAGUGAAAAAGAACACGCAGUGGAGGCUCUGCCACCCUCACUCACCCUUUGUUACCCGUCUCCCCUCCCUACUGCAGCAUAUUGCAGGGGCUGGAAGGUCCUGACACCCUCACCCCAGAUUCUGGGUGUUUCCCUAAAGAACAGAGCCUCCCUCCCUCUGGCCCUGCCGGCCCUGCCUCACACUCCAAGGUCUCUGCAGCCUGCUGGCUGAGCCUGGAGCUUGCCCUGGAGUCCAGGAGAAACCUAGAGCUGUUUGGGGGAAAGAGGGUGGACGAGCUGCAUGGAAGGCAGAGGAGGCAGCAUCCAGAAUUCCCUGCCUUCUGGAGGAAAGGAAAGGAACGGGUCAAGGUGCCUGGCACUGACUUGGCACAGCUUCUUUUCUGUGGGACCCAGCCUCUCCCUCCCUUUCCUGUGCUUGGGAGAACUGCAGAAACUCGAGCCUGUCCCUCGGAUACCUGGAGGACACAUGCAGGUUCCCAGUGCUGGGAAAGGCAGGAGUGAGGGGGAGGGGAGGUGGCAGUGUGUGGUGCCCAUCAGCACCCAAGGGGAGGGCCGAGGAGGAAGCCCGAGGACAUGCCUGCCCAAAACAGCCGCCGUACCCCACCCUCUCCUGCUCCCCCUUCAUGCCAGUGAGCUGUGCCCAAGUACCAGUUCUCCUGGCUGGCAAUCCCGUUCUGUGUGCAGGCAGCCGGCUCCCUCUCCCAGAACAGCAUAGGCUGGGAUCUCUCACACUCCUCACUCUGGCUCUCUCAUCUCUGUGUGUCUGUUGUGGAUUCCAAGGGAUGCAGGGGGCUGGCCCUGUGGUAAAGGGGCAGCCCUGGGCCCCUUAGGUGCCUAUUGGCUGGGCUGGCGGAGUAGGGCAGGGAGACUGCUGACAACUUGGGGGAGCCAGAGGUUAUGGAGGGCAGCUAUCCCCAAGGGCUAGAGGGCUACACGUGUGCUGGAGCAGCCCAAUCCCCGGCUUCUUCCAGGAGAGGAGACCGCUACUCCUCCCUGCCCUCCCUGCUGCCUAAAACCCUGGGUAGCCAGCAAGACCAGAACCUGGACAGAUGCUCACCUCUCGGUGCUGUCCACCCUAGAGCAGGUACCUGGGACCAGAGAGGAGCAGCAAGGGGCUGGGGCUGGCUGAAAGGCCUGGGCAGGCUGGGAAUGGUGCAGAACCACAGGUGUUUGAAAGCACUAAUGCCCUCCCCAUUCACAGGCCAGGUGGGCAGAUGCGCCUUCUCCAUCCUCUCUGGAUCGGGGUGACAGGAGGCUGCGCUGGAGGUCACACCAGCUCCUCCUGCAGCUGGGGUGAGGGGCCCAAUGCCCAGCUUCUCCUAAUGAUCCAGCAACAGCUUUGCUUGGAAAAGAGACCACCCACACUUCACCCAGGGCAGCAGGUCGGCCCUGGACCCUCCCCUCCUCCGAGGCAGCACCAGAAGCCUAGGGAGCCUGUGACAAAGCUUGGUCCUGACUCCCAGCACAGCCCUGCGCUCUGGGUGUGAAAGCUGCGCUGUGAGGGGCCUGGGUGCACCAGGCGGGUCGUGGGCAGGUGUGGGGCACUGAGCCCCAGGAGCAAGGUAAGAAUCGCUCUUCUCUGCCACAUGCUCCUGACCCUCCUCCUCAGUCUCCUCUCCCUCUCCCUUUUUCACCUCUCAUUAGCAAACUCCUUUCCUGGCCACGUCUGCUCCUGGCCAUCUCAACCCUCCAGACUGAGAGGACACAGUAAGUACGUGUCUCUUCCCUGCACUUUUCUCUCACACUUUCUUCAGCUCUUCCUGGCUCCCUGCUGAGAGCCUCCUGCUUUUGAGGCCUUUGCACCAGAGACUGCCAUCAGGAUCUGAACCCAGCCGCCCAGAUUCUGCUGCCUCCCCAACCCUGCGGAUGCCUGGGGACUGGCAAAGACUCAUCUGUCCUCAUCCUGGCUACACGUAUGCCCAGGCCUAGACUGGUGUGUGCACUGGCACUGGGGCCCUGCCUCGGAGCAGAGGGCAGCCUAGGUGUGCACUGGGGCCCCAGCCCUGAAUGCAUGUGUGCCUGUGCAUUGGGCACACUGGUUUAUUAGUGUUAUUUCAGCAUUGUGAUGCAGAGAGAGUAAGUGUAACAGCUGCUCCUUGCUUGCAGUGUUUAUUGUUACCUAGAGACAACCUCCUGGCUUUUUCCCAGCUCCCCUCCCCCCAGCCCAGCCCCCUCCCUGCCAACAAUCCUGCUCUCCCUACACUGAUGGGAAAUUUAUAGCUUGUCCAUACCAUGCCUUUAACCCUCUCCUGUCCGUCGGUGGAUGGGCCAGGAAGCCAGGCUGAGCAGUGGGCAUACUUGGGCCCCAGCAGAGUUGAACAAUGUGUGGGAGAGAGAGGGAGGAAUGACACGUCCCCCUCCACCCUGUGUGCCCAGGCUCAGGCCCCAGUUGCCCUCCUGGUCCUCACAAGAAGAGAGGAGAGGAAAGAGCUCUUGACCUGCUCUUGAGAUCUGGGAAGAGUUCCUUUGGCCCUAGCCUCAGGGUCCCGACAUCCUCCUGACAAGACCUUUCUCUUCCCUGGGCAACCCUAAGCCCCCAGCUGCAUUAGCUGAACCAGAGCGAUGGAGCCAGGUAGCACUGAAGUGGAAGUGGAAAACCCAAGUAGCAGAACCCUUAGCCCCUCUUUUCUGUCUGAGAGAGGCAACUCUAGAGAUGUCUGGCCAGAUACUGGCCAGACCUCCACGUCUGGGUAGACAUCAGACCGGAAGCCCACUGUAUCCUGAGUCUGAGAUGGCACCCAGGUCCCAGGAGACUCCUGGGCUCAUCUGCAAGCUGGCCUUGGUCUGCCUGUCCUUCCUGCUCCAUCUCUCCUGUGUGUCUUUUGGUUUGGUACCUUGGACAGAGGCCAAAGGGGCUGAAGCACCCUCAUCAUGUCCUCCGAGGAGCUGGGAAAAUAGAAGUCCCUGGAACCAUUCAUGGAGAAGUCAGGAGGAACCAGGCCAUCAGCUCCCCAUCCUCACUGGAAGCAAAGGGAGAAAAGAGACUGGACGUCAGCAGGCAAGAUGGAGGUUAAACACACGAGAAAACUUCCUCUAGGAUGAAAGACCAGAGUGGGCCUACUUCUCUCCAGAGGUCUGUCUUCUGCCUACAAGGGAUUGGAGUCCUACAUGUACAGGGAACGCCGGAGAAUGUGCUUCCUUCUGCGGGCUGCCUCAGUCUCCACACAGCACACCUCCUCACGCCAUCAAAAUAUCAUACCUGUGGUGCUCAGAUCACGGAUUAACCCAGCAGAGGGCCAGGUUCCAGUGCCAGCCCUGCCACUCGCCAGCUGCCUUGGUAAGUCACUUGGCCCCUUUGAGCCUGAGUGUCCUUAUCUGUGAUGUGCAGGUGAACAGCUCCCCUUGGGUGGUUGUGAGAAUCUGCACACACAUGUGUAAAGCACCCAGGACAGUGCCCGACAGUGGGCACGCAAUGCAGUAGAGCACUGUUACUGCAGAGCCAGCAGGGCCCACGUGGUUCCACACUCUGUGAUGCCCCCCACUUGCCAGGAGAAUGUUCGUUGUUUUCUUCAUGGCGUGGACUAGAGUGGCAGUGCCCUAGAAAGGACCCAGAUUCCCCAAGGAGUCAGUUCCCCCAUUCCCGUGCCUCCCUAGCCAGGAAAGAAGCUAUGGUCCCAUGCCACCUCUUAGCCACUCUUGUACCUGGCAGCCCUAAGAAGGAUAGCAACAACUAGCUUUCUCCAGGCACUUUACAGUUUGCCAAGUACAUUGACCUACAUUAGCUCUUUUUUUGGUACUGGGGAUCAAACUCAGGACCCUGUGCUUGCAAAGCAGGCAGUGGAACCACUGAGCUACAUCUCCAGCCCCUAUAUUAGCUCUUUUGAUAUCCAGAGCAAUCCAGGAAGAAAAGAGAACUGCAUUUAUUGGGUGUCUACUAUGUACCAGCAUUGUACUGGGUGAUUUUUUAAAUUUGUUGUUUUUGGGUUGAUUUUGUGUUUUUUGUUUGUUUUGGUUUUGGGUUUUGGGAAGAUGGGGUGACACAGGGUCUCACUAUGUAGUCGAGGCCAGCCUUGAACUCACUGUGUAUCCCAAACUAGCCUUGAACUCAUAGAGAUCCUCCUGCCUCAGCCACCCCAGUGCAGGGAUUACAGAUUGUACCACCAUGUCAGGCUCUGAGUGUUUUUUUUUGCGGGGGGGUACCGGGGAUCGAACUUGGGACCUUGCAUUUGCGAGGCAGGCGCUGGAACCACUGAGCUAAAUCCCCAGCCCUUCUGGGUGUAUUUUUUUAAAGCAUCUUUAAAGUCUACGUAGAGUAUUUUAUCACCUACAUACACUGUGAUUUAUGUCUCAUCACCUAUUUUUAAUCAUUUAUAUCUUUUCACUGCUAUAAAUAAUAUGGCAGUGAAUAUCCAAACACAUAAAAUUUCUUCCCUUUUUUCCCCCCUGUAUAUGUGUGUGUGUGGUACUGGGGAUUGAACCCUGGACCUUGCACAUACUAGGCAGGCGCUCUUCCACUGAGCUAUAUUCCCAGCCUGUUUUUAACAUUUGUUUGUUUAUUUAUUUAUUUAUUUAUUUAGACAAAGUCUUGCUAAAUUGCCCAGGCAGGCCUCACAUUUUGAAUAUUCCUGCCUCAGCCUCAUGAAUAGCUGAGAUUAUAAGCGGGCAUCCUGCUUGGCUUCAUGCAUUGUUAAUAAUACAUUCCAAGAAGUGGAAUUAUUGGGUCAAUAGAUACAAAUACCCCCCAUGGUUAUGAUCAUUUCAUUGAUGUACCAUAAUGAGAAUAAUAUUUAUUAACCUUCCUCUUUGGAAUUCUACAAUGGGAACACAUGGGCAGCUCCUUCUCCCCUAUACCCAGCAGAGACAUUAAUAAUUUGUCAUAACAUUUAGUAAGAAAAUGAGAUAAGUAUAGAUUCCCAUGCUGCUGUUAAGAAAUAAUACAGUGAUCUCAUGUGCACCUUGCCCACUUUCACUGAAUGGUAACGGUUUGCAAAGCCAUAUUAUGAUAUCACAGCCAGAAUAUUGACAUUGCUACAAUCUACCGGCCUUGUAAAUGUUUCUCUUGUUCUUGUCUGGGUAUGUGUAUAUUAAGUCCUAAGCUGUUUUAUUACCUGUGUAAGUUUGUAUAUCCACCACUAUAGUCCCAGCACCACAAAGAUUCCUCAUGUUUUAUUUUUAUAAUCACACCUAUUUCUCUACCCCCGCUUAAUAUUUUGUACCACUACUCUGUCCUCCUCUUCUAAAUUUUGUCACUUCAGGAACUGAAACAUACAACACGUAACCUUUUAGGAUUGGGUCUUUUCACACAGCACAAUUCCCAGGAGAUCAUCCAAGUUUUCGUGGGUAUCAACGGUUCACUGCUUUCAUUUAUCUCCAGUAUAGAUACACCACAGCUUCUUUAACCAUUCACCUGUCGGAGGACAUCUGGGCUGAUUCCAGUUUUGGGCUAUUACAAAUAAAGUUGUUAUGAACCAUCA